UGGGGUUGUGGCUCAGUGGCAGAGCACUUGCCUUGCACAUAUGAGGCACUGGGAUCAAUCCUCAGCACCACAA
rnacentral:tRNA from 1 species